CCAACUUUUUACCUGGGUAGGUAGAUCUUGUCACCCCAAAUGGAAUGAUGCUCCUUCCAAGCAGGAGUCACCUGAUAUGGCCCAAAGCACUAGCCCCAUGCCAGCCCCCAACCAGUGCUUCCCUGCUCUUCUUUUAAAAACCCAUCUAUGAAUAACUACUGUGAUUCGUUUUCCCCGAAGCAAGCCCCUGCUGGAACCGCAUGUCUGGAAAUGACCGCUGCAUUAGAAGAAAUUAACCUUCAACUUCAAAAAAAAAAAAAAAAAAAAGGCCCAAACUGAACAAGACCUCAUCUGCUCAGAGAGAAAAUCUAGAAGGAAGUACUCCAACAGGUCUUCCUCAGAGUCCCCUGUACAAAGUAGAUAAAAACUGGUAGCACCCACCACAGUGGAGGAGAUGUUGUCAGCUGGAUGCCUGGACCCCCUGUCUGGGGCCAUAGGAAGAGACUUGUCCAGGCCUCCUCAACGCCAAGGCCCCAGGAUACCAGGAAGCUCCACGGAGAGAUUUUAAAUACAAGGAGACUUCAUUCUCCAUUGAAUGACUGAAAUUUCUGAAGCAUUCCACAAUAAGAAAAAAAAUGUCCUUGAAUGCCAUGCCUUGGUUGAAGAAAAGGAAACUCCUGGGUUCGCAGUCCUCCUGGACACAGAGAAUCAGUGCCCUGACCUUUGAUGCAGAAACUAGCCAAAGCCAAAUACAAGCCAGCACCCACAGACUGCCCGCUGUCAGAAUAAGAGGCUCCAGGACAGGAGGCCAGAGGGCAGGACGAAGGGACGCCUCCAGCACGGAGCCCAUUGGCCAACAUGAAGCUGACUCCUGGCAGAAGGCAGCUUCCUGUUUCUAAGAAACUGGGCCUUUGACAGCCUUCUCUCGUGGGGCCACCCUUACACAGACAGCAUUGUGGUGAAUCUCAAGCACUGUCUCAGAUUUCCCUUCCAGGCGCUCCGGCUUUCAAAGGAAAAAGGAAGUCAGCAGGCUGCUGAGACACCCGCUGGAUUUGGUGAAACUGAGCCAGUUGGAAAAUCAGCAGAAAAUCCACCCAACCCACAUGGUGCCAAGAACUUGAGAAGAGUUUCCAGAGACCCAGCCUCCCCUGCGCGCUAUCUUAGAUAGCCCAGGGCGAUGCGAUACAGGUGUGGUUUGCAAGGCCAGCACUGCCACCGCUGCCGGUCUCCUUCUCUGAAGUCACUCAUGGACCACACCUGACCUUGGGUUUGGGGCCCUAACAACCAGGCUGAAAAAUGAACAAUUUUCUGACUCUUGGAUUAAGAGAUCAACAGACAAUAGGCACUUAACAAAGACCACUGAAUUCAACUUACUUUGAAUUCCAGUUAUUAAGUGAAUUUAGUUCAUAUUUAACAACUGUUAGCUGAGGACCUACUUGGUACCAGGCUCAUGUUAGGUUCUCAGGACUCAAGGAUGAACAAGGUCUAUACCCUCAAGCGAAUCUCCAUCCUGAGAGGUGACACGUGACCUGCUCUGUCUCCAGGCAGCUGGAAUCUCUCUGCAGAUGUCUGAAUCUACUAACCUUCCCCUUCUCUCACUCACUGAUGGGACCUGGGCUUCCAGUGGCUAAGCCAGAGGCCAAAGAAAAAUGACCUCAGUUGUGCCCUCCUUGUCUCUAUUCCUUACAAUGUGGCUUUGCAGCUACCUCUCUUAAGAGGCAGAAUCUGCUUCCCCACCCUUAAACCUAGGCUGGCUUUGUGACUGGUGUCGGCCAAUAGAAUGAGGCAGAAGGGACCAUCCAGUGCCAAGUGCUUUUGCGAAUUUCCUCUCUCUGUGUGUCUCUCAGCAUCAUGCAAGCCCAUCUAACCUGCCAGACAUUGAGACCACAGAGAGCAAAGCCAAGUCCAGCCAGUUGUCCUGCCCCAGCCAAGACCAGCAAAAACACACGGACACAAGUGAACCCCUGAGCCUACACAAGUCCAGACCACACUAUCUGGCUUUCCUGGAGCUUCGUUAAUGAUCCUGAUUUUCCAUCACUGGGUGUUGGUGACUUGUUUUGCAACGUGAUCAUCACACUAGACUUCAACGCAACUGCCAGCACCAGUCAACCUACAGUCAGCCCACAGAAGGACAGCGGGUUUACCUCUCGGCUGCUUCGUCCCCUCUCCACCUGGCCGGGAGAGCCUCUGAAGGAAGCGAGUUCUCAGUUGGGACCCUGACUUGAACAUGUCUGCCAAGCCCCAGCUGGGCAUUUUCCCAGGAGAACGCCAGCUGAGAUCCUGGGCUUCCUGGAGCCUCAGAGAGCUAAUGAGAGCUCAUCCUCUGCAGCAGGAGGUGUGGUGAGAAUCAUGGACUCUGGGGCCAGAUACACUGGGGAAGUGAGCCCUGGCUCUGGCCCUUUCUAAGUACAGGUAUGUGACCUGACUCACUCAGCCUCAGCAAAUGCACCUGGGAAGUGGGGCUGGUAAUGAAGUUGCUCCCUCAAAGGCCUUCUGUGAAGCUUACAUGAUGUGUAUAAAACAGCAGUUCUCAAGUGGGAGCAAUUUAGCCCCUGGGGGACAGUUGGUAAUAUCUGAAAGCAAUUUGGCUUGUCACAGUGGUGGGCAGGGAGGGGGAUAUACUGCCACUGGCAUCUAGUGGGGAGAGACCAGGGACUGCAAAGCAUUCUACAACACACGGAAUAGCCUCCACAAUAACGGAUUUUACAGCCCAAAAUACCAAUUCAGAGAAACCCUGAAUUCUUUGUCCGGAGCCCCUGGCACUCAGCAAGUGGCAGAGAUGGCCACACAGCCCUCCGGAAAAAUGGCACCCAAGGUGCCAAGGUACCUCCCUUUCUGGGAGAUUCAGGUCAAAGCAGCAAUAGUGAACUGGGUGCUGACCGUAACCUUUGAGCCCAUCUACCAGCUAGGGCUAUAAAAUGGGAGUGCAGGUUGUCCAAACUGAUUUUAGAUGUGAACUUGGCUUCCAACUGGGAAUAGAUUAUAUGACUUUCUGAGUUUCUGGCAGCUAAGAAUUUAUGACCGAAAAGUGGUCAUCCCAAGUGAGGCUUUCAUGGGUUUUACAGCAUGCUUGGAGCAAAGCCUCACAUUAUAAAAGUGCACAUUAAUUGAAUGUUGCAAGUUCACAGACUUAUCCUGCAUCUUCUACUAGGGUCUCUGUUUUCAAAGAUUUAGCCUAUAAUAAAAUGCACUGGGACCUUCCUUUG